rnacentral:rRNA from 1 species
GAGUUUGAUCAUGGCUCAGGAUGAACGCUGACAGAAUGCUUAACACAUGCAAGUCUACUUGAUCCUUCGGGUGAAGGUGGCGGACGGGUGAGUAACGCGUAAAGAACUUGCCUUACAGACUGGGACAACAUUUGGAAACGAAUGCUAAUACCGGAUAUUAUGAUUGGGUCGCAUGAUCUGGUUAUGAAAGCUAUAUGCGCUGUGAGAGAGCUUUGCGUCCCAUUAGUUAGUUGGUGAGGUAACGGCUCACCAAGACGAUGAUGGGUAGCCGGCCUGAGAGGGUGAACGGCCACAAGGGGACUGAGACACGGCCCUUACUCCUACGGGAGGCAGCAGUGGGGAAUAUUGGACAAUGGACCAAAAGUCUGAUCCAGCAAUUCUGUGUGCACGAUGAAGUUUUUCGGAAUGUAAAGUGCUUUCAGUUGGGAAGAAGUCAGUGACGGUACCAACAGAAGAAGCGACGGCUAAAUACGUGCCAGCAGCCGCGGUAAUACGUAUGUCGCAAGCGUUAUCCGGAUUUAUUGGGCGUAAAGCGCGUCUAGGCGGCUUAGUAAGUCUGAUGUGAAAAUGCGGGGCUCAACCCCGUAUUGCGUUGGAAACUGCUAAACUAGAGUACUGGAGAGGUAGGCGGAACUACAAGUGUAGAGGUGAAAUUCGUAGAUAUUUGUAGGAAUGCCGAUGGGGAAGCCAGCCUACUGGACAGAUACUGACGCUAAAGCGCGAAAGCGUGGGUAGCAAACAGGAUUAGAUACCCUGGUAGUCCACGCCGUAAACGAUGAUUACUAGGUGUUGGGGGUCGAACCUCAGCGCCCAAGCUAACGCGAUAAGUAAUCCGCCUGGGGAGUACGUACGCAAGUA